rnacentral:rRNA from 1 species
ACCUGAUUGAUCUUGUCAGUUGUAUAUGCUUCUCUUAAAGAUUAAACCAUGCAAAUCUAAGUAAAUUGGAUUUUAAAAUAGAAACGGUAGAGAGCUCAUUAAAACAGUUUGAAAGAAUAGGAAUAACUUUGUAAGUCUUCGGAUUUAUAAAACAGGAUAUUCCAUCGAAUUGAUGAAUUAAUACGUUGUAGCAAGAACUCGAAAGAUCGCAAGAUUGAGAGUGAAUUUAUUUAAAAGAGAUUCGGGGUUAGAAUCAGGUAUUUACGGAUAACGAAAGAUUAGAGUUUGAUUUCGGAGAGGUGGCCUGAGACACUGCCACCACUUCUAAGGAAGGCAGCAGGUGCGAAAAUUACUCAAUGACACAUCGUCGAAGUAGUGACGAGAAAUACCAGAAUUGGGCCCGUAUGGGACAGUGUCUGGGAUGAUUACAAUUUAAAAACCUUAAAUAGAAACCAUUAGAGGGCAAGUCUGGUGCCAGCAGCCGCGGUAAUUCCAGCUCUAAGAGUGUAUCUGAAAGUUGUUGCAGUUAAAACGUUCGUAGCUAAUAUUAAUAAAGUUAGCUUUUCAAACGAUCAGAAAUGAAAGGAUGAAAUUUAGACUUUAUAAAGCUGCUAAUAAUUUGCAAGUGUCUUGGAAACUCGAUAACUGCCUGCUAUGCCUUAAAAACAUAGUAGUUUAUUAGCAAGGAUUAACUUUGAAUAAAUUUGGGUGUUCAAAACAAGCUAUAAAGCUUUGAAAACAUUAGCAUGGUAUUACAAAAUACGAUAGUUUCGGCAUUAACUCAAGGCCUCAAAACCUUGUGUCGGACUAUAAUGAAAAAAGAGAGUUGUUGGGGUCACCUUUAUUCUUUGGGGAAGGGUGAAAUCUUAUGAUCCAAAGAAGAAACACUAAGGCGAAAGCACCUAGACCAGGAUGUUUUUGUCAGUCAAGAUCGAAAGUAGAGGGCGCGAAGAUGAUUAGAUACCGUCGUAGUCUCUACAGUAAACUAUGUUGAUUUAGGAUGAUAGAUCAUUUUUUUAUGAUCUCUAUUGAACUAUACGAGAAAUCCAGAAUAUUCGAACUCUGGGGGUAGUAUGGUCGCAAGGCUGAAACUUAAAAGAAUUGACGGAAGAGCACCACCAGGCGUG